rnacentral:rRNA from 1 species
UGUGGUAGCCAACACUGAUAGAGAUAUAUAUAUAUAUAUAUAUAUAUAUAUAUUAUUAUUAUUUUUUUAUUUUUUUUAUUGUGGUAGCGCCCGAAAUAUUGGGACAUAUAAAAAAAGACAACUCUGUUCCGCAGAGUAGCUGUUAACAUUAUAGUUGCACAGGAACUUUGUUGACUCUAGAGAACCUCGGGCAAAUCGCACAUCCCCGUGGCGGCGACUUUGCAUGCGGAUGUCAUCCAUAUCAACUUUUGAUGCCAUUUUCUGCUCCUACCAUGGUGACCACGGGUAACGUGGAAUCAGGGUUCCAUUCCGUACAGGGACCCUGAGAAACGGCUACCACAUGCAAGGAAGGCAGCAGGCGCGCAAAUGACCCACUCCCGACGCGGGAACGUAGUGACG